rnacentral:precursor_RNA from 11 species
UAAGCAGAGUUCGCAUGACAUUCCCCGAGGUAAUCUCAAAUUGUAACAGUGGGUUGAUUUUCCUGGUGAAUCCCGGCCUUGUCCUCCGUCACAAGUGUGACAAGUGUCUCGAAAACGUGUUCGCUAUACCCACGUUACAGAUUGGGGUUUCCCCGGGUCAUGCCGUAGUCAUCGUUGUGCCU